rnacentral:tRNA from 1 species
GGGCCUCUAGCUCAACUGGCAGAGCUGCGGACUUUUAAUCCGUAGGUUCCGGGUUCGAACCCCGGGGGGCCCACCA